rnacentral:rRNA from 1 species
ACUUAAAUUGAAGAGUUUGAUCAUGGCUCAGAUUGAACGCUGGCGGCAGGCCUAACACAUGCAAGUCGAGCGGUAGCACAGAGAGCUUGCUCUCGGGUGACGAGCGGCGGACGGGUGAGUAAUGUCUGGGAAACUGCCUGAUGGAGGGGGAUAACUACUGGAAACGGUAGCUAAUACCGCAUAACGUCGCAAGACCAAAGUGGGGGACCUUCGGGCCUCAUGCCAUCAGAUGUGCCCAGAUGGGAUUAGCUAGUAGGUGGGGUAACGGCUCACCUAGGCGACGAUCCCUAGCUGGUCUGAGAGGAUGACCAGCCACACUGGAACUGAGACACGGUCCAGACUCCUACGGGAGGCAGCAGUGGGGAAUAUUGCACAAUGGGCGCAAGCCUGAUGCAGCCAUGCCGCGUGUGAAGAAGGCCUUCGGGUUGUAAAGCACUUUCAGCGGGGAGGAAGGCGAUAAGGUUAAUAACCUUGUCGAUUGACGUUACCCGCAGAAGAAGCACCGGCUAACUCCGUGCCAGCAGCCGCGGUAAUACGGAGGGUGCAAGCGUUAAUCGGAAUUACUGGGCGUAAAGCGCACGCAGGCGGUCUGUCAAGUCGGAUGUGAAAUCCCGGGCUUAACCUGGGAACUGCAUUCGAAACUGGCAGGCUAGAGUCUUGUAGAGGGGGGUAGAAUUCCAGGUGUAGCGGUGAAAUGCGUAGAGAUCUGGAGGAAUACCGGUGGCGAAGGCGGCCCCCUGGACAAAGACUGACGCUCAGGUGCGAAAGCGUGGGGAGCAAACAGGAUUAGAUACCGGUAGUCCACGCCGUAAACGAUGUCGAUUUGGAGGUUGUGCCCUUGAGGCGUGGCUUCCGGAGCUAACGCGUUAAAUCGACCGCACGGGAGUACGGCCGCAAGGUUAAAACUCAAAUGAAUUGACGGGGGCCCGCACAAGCGGUGGAGCAUGUGGUUUAAUUCGAUGCAACGCGAAGAACCUUACCUGGUCUUGACAUCCACAGAACUUUCCAGAGAUGGAUUGGUGCCUUCGGGAACUGUGAGACAGGUGCUGCAUGGCUGUCGUCAGCUCGUGUUGUGAAAUGUUGGGUUAAGUCCCGCAACGAGCGCAACCCUUAUCCUUUGUUGCCAGCGGUUAGGCCGGGAACUCAAAGGAGACUGCCAGUGAUAAACUGGAGGAAGGUGGGGAUGACGUCAAGUCAUCAUGGCCCUUACGACCAGGGCUACACACGUGCUACAAUGGCAUAUACAAAGAGAAGCGACCUCGCGAGAGCAAGCGGACCUCAUAAAGUAUGUCGUAGUCCGGAUUGGAGUCUGCAACUCGACUCCAUGAAGUCGGAAUCGCUAGUAAUCGUAGAUCAGAAUGCUACGGUGAAUACGUUCCCGGGCCUUGUACACACCGCCCGUCACACCAUGGGAGUGGGUUGCAAAAGAAGUAGGUAGCUUAACCUUCGGGAGGGCGCUUACCACUUUGUGAUUCAUGACUGGGGUGAAGUCGUAACAAGGUAACCGUAGGGGAACCUGCGGUUGGAUCACCUCCUUACCUUAAAGAA